rnacentral:rRNA from 1 species
GUGAGGAAUCUUCCACAAUGGGCGAAAGCCUGAUGGAGCAACGCCGCGUGCAGGAUGAAGGCCUUCGGGUCGUAAACUGCUUUUAUAAGUGAAGAAUAUGACGGUAACUUAUGAAUAAGCACCGGCUAACUACGUGCCAGCAGCCGCGGUCAUACGUAGGGUGCAAGCAUUAUCCGGAGUGACUGGGCGUAAAGAGUUGCGUAGGUGGUUUGUUAAGUAGGUAGUGAAAUCUGGCGGCUCAACCGUACAGGCUAUUACCUAAACUGGCAAACUCGAGAAUGGUAGAGGUAACUGGAAUUUCUUGUGUAGGAGUGAAAUCCGUAGAUAUAAGAAGGAACACCAAUGGCGUAGGCAGGUUACUGGACCAUUUCUGACACUGAGGCACGAAAGCGUGGGGAGCGAACGGGAUUAGAUACCCGGGUAGUCC